UAUUAAUUCAUCCUUUGGACUUGUUUUUAGAAUUUGUGUAGAUGUUAUACCAAAUGUCACUGGUUUGACUUCUAUAUGAUGGCUUUAAUUUCAUUCAUGUCAAUCCUUUUUGAUCCUGUCAGUUGUACCUUUUCAUUUGCAAGUACAAGUUGUGUAUAUGUAUUUAUUAUACCUCUAUUGCAAUAUUCCUUUAUCAUUCAAAAGCAUUGUGCAUUAACAUUUUGAAGUGUCCACAAAUGUGUAAAACAAAGAUUGACAUGUCUCUUUUUUUUUCAGCAGUAAGAACAUUGUGCUCAUGACACACAGCAGAAGAGAAGCAGAGCUUGGCCUUUGACUGUAUGUGGAAGAAGCAGACUGACUUGAUUCCAACCAGCCAGAAAAGGACACGUAGAUAUUGAUCGCAACCGAUUCUGAAAAUAUGUAUAUAUUUUGACGGAAUUGUAAUUUUCUGCGAAUAAGAUCUAGUAUGUAGUUUGCUAUUUUUCCAGAUUAACUUUUAACAAUGUAAAAACUUAAGCUCAAAUUACAUUGUAUUUACAUUAAGUCAAUCAGAUUGUGAGAGCAGACAAGUGUAAAAUUGCAAUUUUGUGAAAGUAAAACUGUAAAAAUUGAAA